rnacentral:lncRNA from 1 species
UUUUGUGGUCAAAUAAGAGUCUGUUUGUUUUUAUUUAUUUUUUUAAUUAUAUUGUAAUAAUUUUUACUAAGUCAUUUUUUAUAAAAAAUUUAAAUAAAAAUUUGGUUUGAAUAAUUAUUUUUAAAAUGUUAUUUUAGAUAUUUUAUUAAUUUAUUAAAAAAAAUUUAAAUAUCAAAAUUUUAAUAAAUCACUUAAUUUUUAAGUUAUUUCAAAUGAUUUUUCAUAAAAUUUAUUUUAGAUACAACUUUUUUAAAAAAUUACGAUUUAGACUAUGUUUUGAUCUUCAAUAAUAUAUAUUUAUAUUAUAAAAUAUCAAAAUUAGUCUUUCAAUUAAAAAAAAUGAAUAUUAAAAAACUUAUAAUAUUUUUAAAAACAAUUUUGUAAAAUUUAUUUUUAAAAAUUAAAAAAAAAAACAAUUUUUUUAAAGCUAAAACACACAAACUCUAAAUUUAUCUCU